GAGGGUAUAGCUCAAUGGUAGAGUGUGUGCUUAGCAUGCACGAGGUCCUGGGUUCAAUCCCCAGAACCUCCA
rnacentral:tRNA from 1 species